rnacentral:snRNA from 1 species
UCACUAUGGGUUACCUGUGGAUUUGUCUUAGUUGUAAGAAUGCAGAGAACAUUAGCAUGGCCCCUGAGCAAGGAUUACAUGCACAAAUCGAGAAAUGUCUUAGUUGUAA